rnacentral:rRNA from 1 species
UACGAAGGGGGCUAGCGUUGUUCGGAAUUACUGGGCGUAAAGCGAACGUAGGCGGUGUUCCAUGUCAGAGGUGAAAGCCUGGGGCUCAACUCCAGAAUUGCCUUUGAAACGGGGACGCUUGAGUCCGAGAGAGGAUGGCGGAAUUCCUAGUGUAGAGGUGAAAUUCGUAGAUAUUAGGAAGAACACCAGUGGCGAAGGCGACUUACUGGACACAUAUUGACGCUGAGGUGCGAACGCGUGGGGAGCAAACAGG